GCGAAGUAAAACCCGAUCACGGCGUGACCGCCACUGUUGGUGUUGACUAUAAGUACAUUCUUCUUCUCACCGACGGAGCUGGCCUUAACGGUAAAUUUUUGAGGAGAUAACCUUCGAGAAGUCCUCAGAGAGAAUGUCAAGAGAGAAGAAGAAGAAGAAGAAGAAGAAGAGAGAGAGGAAAAGGAGGAAGAUGAAGAGGGUAGAGAGAAGCGGUGGAGAGAUGGCGGGAUCAGGAGAUUGCUGAUCGGAGAAGUUGUCUUGGAAGAGAAAAACAGAGAGGAGGAUG